GCCUGGCCCCGCCGCCUCACCUCCCCGAUCAUGCCGUUCCAGACGCCAUCGAUCUUCUUCCCGUGCUUGCCGUUGGUGACCAGGACCCUGCGUUCUUUGAAGAGAAGUCCGUGGUCUUAUUCAUCUCUGUGCUCCCAGCGCCCAGCAGGAGCCCUAGUUCCUAGCAGGUGCUCACUAGCCCAGGCCACGUGCAGGGGUGACGUUCAAAAUAUCUAACCAUCCGGGCAGCACAAGCACUAGCCAAUCAGAAUCGCUGUCUAACCAAUCUGUACGGACACCCCUGUAAACAACCAAUCAGACAGCUCUGACCACAUGACUACGUUCUCACCAAUGGGGUGUAAGUCUGGUUCCUUCCACCUUAUUUGCUCAAAAGGGAAUUGCUAGCUCUCCGCUUUCUCUCUUUCCCCUUCUCACGAGCUGGAAUUCCGACGUGCCCACGACCGAAUUUCGGGCCACUGGGUUGUUGGGUCUUUUUGUUACUGAUGUUCAGUUCAUACCCCCAACUAGGGUAUUUCAUGGACUCUAAGGUGCUGUCAACUCUAAGAUGUAUCUCCAUUUUUAUGUACCACAAAGAAAAAAGCGCUGCCAAUUAAACCACGAGGAGCCAUCAGUCGUAAGACACAUCUUGAUUUUAAAGACAUUAAACUGAAAAAAAUCUGCAUCUCAGAAUCAUGAAACAGAGUAACGCCGCAGUCACUGUCUCAGAUGCUUUUUCCAAAUGACCUGAUUUAACCCCAGAAAGGAGACCCAAUUACACCCUUUUUACAGAAAAGCAAACUGAAGCUCCGAGCGGAUGGGACCCAUUUGUGGCCACUCAGCACGUGAGUACCCAAGGUCAUCGGGCUCUGGAACCUUCCGACAGCCCUCCCACCCCAGUCCC